AUUGAACGCUGGCGGCAGGCCUAACACAUGCAAGUCGAAUGGUAACAGGAAACAGCUUGCUGUUUCGCUGACGAGUGGCGGACGGGUGAGUAAUGUCUGGGAAACUGCCUGAUGGAGGGGGAUAACUACUGGAAACGGUAGCUAAUACCGCAUAACGUCGCAAGACCAAAGAGGGGGACCUUCGGGCCUCUUGCCAUCAGAUGUGCCCAGAUGGGAUUAGCUAGUAGGUGGGGUAACGGCUCACCUAGGCGACGAUCCCUAGCUGGUCUGAGAGGAUGACCAGCCACACUGGAACUGAGACACGGUCCAGACUCCUACGGGAGGCAGCAGUGGGGAAUAUUGCACAAUGGGCGCAAGCCUGAUGCAGCCAUGCCGCGUGUAUGAAGAAGGCCUUCGAGUUGUAAAGUACUUUCAGCGGGGAGGAAGGGAGUAAAGUUAAUACCUUUGCUCAUUGACGUUACCCGCAGAAGAAGCACCGGCUAACUCCGUG
rnacentral:rRNA from 1 species